AGCUGCACUCAGCUCUUAAAUGCAGCUAUUCACAGAGGGCCCAGGCUCUCCCCUGCCCUGUGACACUACGUGGGACACACACCUCCACAGGUGACUAUCAACCCUCACGCAGGCAAAGCCUCUGGAAGCUGUUCUUGUCUUCAUGGACACAGUGUUGCAAAGACGCAAGGGCGUCCAUGCGGUCCUGGGGAAGAGCUGCAGCAAGGCCCGGCAGGGUGGGCAGGCCUGUGGGUCUGUGUUCAGGUGACGGCUGGUCUGAGCAGCGCACUGCCUGGUCUCCUGCUUGGACAGCAGCGAGGGCAAGUAAUGCUGGACUGGGAGUCAGGCUAUUCCACAUCCUUGAAAUCUAGUUAUUUCCAUUAGCUUUGCUUUGUUAAUCAAAAAGUAUCUGAGACAGAUCUCAAUCAAUUUAGAGAUUUAUUUUGCCGAGGUUAAAGAUCAUGGCCCAUGACAUAACCUCAGAAGAUCUUGAGAACCUGUGCCCAAGGUGGUUGGGUUACAGUUUGAUUUUAUAAAUUUUAGGGAGACAGAACAGGCAAAGACAAAAAUCAAUAUGUAUAAGGUAUACAUUGGUUUGGCCUGGAAAGGUGGGACAUCUUGAAGUGGAGGCAUCUGCGUCACAGGUGGAUUUAAAGAUUUCCUGAUUGGCAAUUGGUUGAAAGGGCUAAGCUCUGCCUGAAGAGUUGAAAGCAGCUUGUGGGAAUUUGAAGAAUCUCCAGGAGGGCCAGAGAGUAGACUUGGAUGCCACCCAGCCAGCAAUAGAGAAGUUGGGACCACCCAGCCAGGGACAAGGCCACACCUCAGCCAUCACCACCCACAAGCAACGCAGCAUGUAUGAGCUGGGACAGGACACCAGAAACUACCUCAUGAUUGCUCCGGAAGAAGCAGCUGCAGGUGCUCAGCCAUCUUUAUUUCCUGCCACCCCCAAACUAUGAAGACAGCAAAGCAGCCUGUGGAGAGGCUGCUCACAGAGGCAACCCCACCCUUACUUGGUGAUGGCACGUGGAACUCCACCUCCCAGGUGGAAAAUGGAAAAAUUGUUUCCUUCUCUGAUCUACUGCCUGAGCUGUCAUCAGGAUUUUGAGGACUGACUUAAUGAAUAAAAUAUAAAGGCUUAGCGUGAGCCUGGGAUAUGCAUGGUGGAAGAGAAUAAAUAGCCUUUUGUAUAUCAAAGAUACUUUCUGGGUAACCCAAUCUGAGAAAUAGCUACUUCAGCCACAUCUGCUGUUAGGGAAGGCUGAGAAAAUAGUGACUAUAAAAUGAAAUGAGGCUUGUAGGUGAACCACAUGAAAUCCUGUGAACCGGGGAGAAGUCACCAGCUAUUACAAUGGAGUCUAGCUAAGAAGGGGCACGUGGGGGUGGGGAGAUCGUGACCAAUCAACAGUGCAGCUUGAAAAUGUGGGUUUUCUCUUGGGAAGCUUCAUUCCCUGGGAAGGAAGAAGCUAUAACGAAACAGGAGCAAUGAAGCUUUGCCUGGAGAGGAUGCUGCUCACAUUUGCAUGUUAAAUGAACUGAGGCCUCUCCUGGCUCCCCUUGGAGGGCUCUCAGAGGCAGCUCUAGCCUCAGAGGGUCUCUUGCCCACAUCUUACUCUGGUUCAGAGCCCACAUCCCCAAAGAGAGCCUUGUACACAGCAGGUAUUCAAUCAAUAUUUGUAUUAAAUUGCAUUUUAAAAGCUGAUUACUUGAGUGACCCCUUCCCCUACCCACCCCCAAAGACUGUCCUCCAGUAUCUCUUUGUGCAUAUCCUGAAUUCAAGCUGCAGUGAGAGGCUUUAGCAAGAGAGAGAAAACCCACUCUAAAAGCUUCAUUUGCGACAAUUUCCAUUUUAUUUCUCACCACCACCAGCCUUUGGACGAACAGGUCCUAAAGAGCUAUGGAAACAGCAUCGUGGAAACAGCACGAGUCUCAUGCUGUCAUCCAGGCUGGAGUGCAGUGGUGUGAUCAUAGUUCACUGCAGCCUCAACCUCCUGGGCUCAAGCAAUCCUCCCACCUCAGGUUCUUGAGUAGCUGAGCCCAAUACCAUGCCUAGCUAAUUCUAGUAGCUUCUGAUAAAUUCUCUCUGUUUACUCAAGAUACAGUUAUUGAAUGACUGGUCUGGGCCAAGCAUUAUUCUCGGCGCUGGGGAUGCAGCAGGGGGCCUGGAUCAUACUCAAGGUCACUAGAUACUUGUUACAUGAGUGAAUGAAGUCAUUCAGUACUCAUUGGCUCCACUGGGCUCUGACUUGCUGGGCAUGACAAGCCCACCAGGGAGCCCUGGAUAUCCCUCCUCUUUCCAAGCAGCUGGGGAAGCUGGUUGCCCUGGAAACCUGUUUUAGGUGGCAGCAUCUUCCUCCAGGAGGUCGAGGUGUCUCCUGGACCUUAGAGACUCCAGGACACAGGACAGAGCUCUGAACUGUGGAGCCGGGAAACCUGGUUCCAGUCUCAGCCCAGAUUUACCAGCCGUAGACUUGGCCAAGUCACUCACAAAACCCAAAGGGUGAGGCAGAGCUGGCCCUGCCUGCAUGGCAGGGAGAUUUUGAGAAGCAUGAAGAGAGUCAGGAAGUGCCUGGGGAUCGAAUCCACCCAGCAGUGCAAGGCAUUGCUCUCCCAAUUCUCCAUUGGGAAAAAAAAAUCCAGACAAAGACAGUACAGAGAAUAUGGUAGCCAAUACUGCAGCAGUCACCACCCGGAAAAACAGACACUAAUAUAAUAACUUGUGAUUUUUGCUUCAUAUCUCUGUGGCAUAAAACCAUGACACAUAAAGUUUAUGUCCCCCUUUAACCAUUCCUCAAUGCUAUUCCCCUCCUCUCUCCCCCUCCUCAACGGCAACCACUGAUAUGUUCGCUCUAUUCUGUGCUUUUCAUAUUUUAAAUAUAUUGUUUAUGGGAAUGAUCAUAUAUAAGAAAUAUAUUAUACUGUUUGUUUUAAAAGUUUGCAUAAAUAAUAUCAAAGUAAAUUAUUUAAGUGUCCCCAGCAGUCCCUGUCCCCGUCCACCUUUCCCUCAGUUCUCUUCCAUCACAGUAAAGAAAACUGCCCAAACCUGGUCACCGCCCCUGGACUUUCGAAGUGGCUUCCUACUUGGGGUCCUGCUUCCAACAUUGGCCCUGUGAGUGACAAGGAUCUCAUUCCUUUUGUGCUCAAAGCUCUGGCCUCUCUCUCCCUCCUUGGCCUUGCCCAGCCCAGCCCCACCCCUGUCCUCAGAACCUCACACCUGUCGUUCCCCACCUGGGGUGCCCUUCCCGCUGGCUGGCCCCUCACCUCUCUCAGAUUUCUGCUCUAAUGACAGUAACUGGAGAGGCCUUGCCUGAAGUCCCCUCCUCUUUCUCCUUACCUUGCUUUUUGGUUAUGCAUCCUCCUCCUAAUUGCUUUAUUUAUUUAUGUGUUUAAUCACCAUCCUCUUACUUUUCUAAGGCUCGUCCUGAUUUUUUUCACAUCCUGGUAUCUGAGCCGGCAGUGAUUCUAUACCUGGCAGCAGCCUGUGCGGCAGAGCUGUGUGUAAAGGGGUCCAUGCAGAGCCCUGGGAGAAAGAAAAAUGAAGGGGAAAAGGUUGACCUGAGCUUUUUCACCUGGGGCUGGAAAGUGGACCAGAGCCUAUCAUUCCAACCUGCAGGUGCCUAAGGCCCAACAGAAAGUUCACCAGGAAAGACCAAGAGAAUUGGGGUGACCCUCCCACAGUAUCAGAGGGAAGGGGAGUGGGGAGGAGUACAGCAGUGCAGACCAGCCCCACAGGUGCUUAGCCAGGCCUUUGGUUCUGCCAGGGAAAGGAGGGUGCCUUCCACAGCAUGAAAACUACACCACGUCCCAAUGUGUCCGGGACCUGCCGCCAGCCGCCUGCACAGUAGUCAGGUGGAUGCCACCGGGAUACAGCCCACACUGACUCCUGACCCCAGGGGGUACAGCCCACGCUGACUCCUGACCCCAGGGGGUACAGCCCACGCUGACUCCUGACCCCAGGGGGUACAGCCCACAUUGACUCCUGACCCCGGGGGUUACAGCCCACACUGACUCCGGACCCCGGCGUGGGAGGGGCUGGCCCGAGAUGAAAUCUCGAAGGUGGGUCAGGCUAGGUCCUGGAGUCAGGGGAAGCGUGGGGUUCAGGCCAGGCCUGGGUUCUCCCUGAAGUGAGGCUGACUCUGAGCCUUUCUUGAAACCCCAAAUGUCACAGCAGUGCCCCGAAGGUAGGUGAGGCUCUGUUGCAGGGAAUGCUGAGGAAAAAGGGAACAUCAGGGAUUGGUCUGGCCUGAAGCCUGCACUCCCCUAAAUUAUACCCUGGUAUGAUUUGGGCUUGCCCUGGAGUUACCUCAACUAACCUGGGGUCCUUGGGGGAAACAGAGAUGGACAGGGUUGAUGUAUAUUUCGGGUUGAUUUGGACUCUAAGGAUUAUCCCAGCUCAGACCUCGCUCUCAAGGAAUAGGAGCCUGGCAUCUGUCUAUCACCCCCUUGGCCCUGGGUAUAGUCUGGAUGAGCAGAGGCACGCGUGUGGCCCCAAGAGUCCCACCCUCUGGCUCUCUCCUCCCAAGACAUUCUGGAGCCAUGACAUGUCUCCCAGGAAGGGAGAAUUAUUUUUGUCUGUGGCAUAAAUAAAGCCAGGAAUGAGUUCCAAUAAUCACAAGCACAUGCCAGCAUGUGGAGGCUACUCUGACAGCAGCAGAAGGUUCCAGCACUGCCUGCCCUGCUGGUCCUGGCUGCAGGGAGGUGACCGGGAUGGUCAGGGGUCGGGAGCAGGAGGGAGCCUCCAGGAUUUUAUUUAAAAUGAUCAGGUUUUUCAAACAAAUGGAAAAAUAAAAAAAUCUUGAAAACAAAUCUUUUAAAAAUUUACCCACUUCACUCCAGAUCUUAAGAAAUAAAAAUAAAACAUGACUAUUCCUCUAGAAUCCUGACCCAUACCAUACAACUCUCUUCCCAGAGGUCAUUGCCAACAUCGAUUUCUAUUUAUUUUUCUCAUGCUUGCUUUAAUAUUUCUACUAUAUAUGUAUGCAUCUAUAAAUAAACUCUAUGUGACAUUGUUUUGUGUUU
rnacentral:lncRNA from 1 species